UCACACAGGAAUAGGAGGCCCCUGUCCUUUCACUCCAGUGUGGCAGAGGAAUAAAGAGAGAAUUUCUUCUCCAACACUUGAUUUCUCCUUUUCAACAUUUUGCUGGAAUUAUAGGCAGAGAUGAACAGAGAAAGAAGUGACAAGGGCCACUCAGGAAGCUCAUAACGUCUAUUAUUGUGCAUGAUCCCUGGGAUAAGGGGACAUUGGUGGAGACAAGAAAGGACAAGCAGGACACAAAAUAAAGAUAACAGGAAGAAGAGGAUGCUGUAAAUUUAUGAGUACCACAGAGCAAGCAGCACGUGUCCUGUAAAAGUAAUCUUCUGUGAUUGACUUUGUUUGAUAUCGAUGAGUGUGAAGGAAUGGGCUAUCAUGUUUCAGAAUCACCUGAUACCACUCUCCCAAGCAGUCCCCUACUGGCCUAGUCUAUUCCUACAACGUCUGUUUUCUUCAUUUCAAUCCUGUAAUACUAGUGAACAUCAACUGCUUCCAUUAUUUCAGGCUGUUUGGACUAAAGAAAUCACAGUUUAUGGGUUUGGAUUCACGUCUUGGGGUGCUGCAUCAGAUAGUCAUGACAGUGAAACAGUUCCUUAGUAUUAUACUAUUUUAGAACCCACGAACACUUCUCCUGAUCAUGGUCCACAUAGAAAUUAGGAAGUAUUAUUGUGUUAUAGAAUAUGUAAAUGCUAGUACAGAUUGAAAUCAUAUGGAAGCUUGUAUUCAUAGAUAACACUUGUAACAAUGAUAUUUUCACAAGGUAUUCCAUAAUUGACGUGACAUGGAAUAUUUGAGAGAAAUUCCAAGUUUAAUAUCAAGCAAAACGUCUUUUCACAGAAA